CUCCAGCACGCCGCCACCUCCUGCCACGCCCCGCACCCGCGCCCCGCGCAGACCGCCUGCAGUUGCCGCGCGCUACCAUCGUCUACCCCGCCGGCGCGCCUAUCCCUACCCCAAGUGCCCCACACACGCGGUCUUCCAACACCGGCGACCCGCGGCAGCCUUCCACCACGGACGAUACUCGACGCUGCGGCGACGGAUCCCCCCGCUUCCGCUUGCCUCCCGCAGCGAGAUAUCAGAUCGAGAGAGAGGCAAGGGGUGUGUUGGUGCAGAGGUUGGACCGUCAUAGGCAAACAAGCCGCCACUCCGAUGGACAGAGCCGACGCGUGCGCUGGACAAAGCCGUCGUACACGCAUCUAUCUAUCUAAUCCGGCUGAUGCACCUGGCUGUGGGUUAGCUUCUGCUGGGAUGGUGACAAAGGACAUGGAAAAGAAGCUUGUGGGGUGCGGCCUGAUGGACAGGGAACGAGAGGGUGACGGUGGCCUAAAGAUGAAGGGACGUUUGUGGCCUGACCACAAGAGCAUGGCCACAGUGCAAAUUCCUCUAUAUCUUUCCAUGGGGCCAUGGCUGUUCCAGAGUAUGGCAACUGUGCAAAAUCAGUUGUCUCCCUGGUCAAAGCAGAUGCUCGGGGUCACGUCCAAUGUCGCUGCCGAGUUUGCCGGAGGAAGAAGCGCCGAGUUUGCCAGAGGAACGAAAACAUCUGUCGAGCCGUCCAAUGUCGCUCGCGGCGGGCUACAACAGAGCACAAUGACCAUCCUCGCAGAAGCAUAGGUGGUAGAUGGUGAGCUUUUUGGAGGAAGCGGAGGCGGAGAUUUCUAUUCACCAAAAAGAUGGAGCCGCCAUCGACAAGCACUGACGAGCAGCUCAGUCUCAGCCCACGCAUCGACGGGCUGAGGCCGGCUUCCAAUAGAAGUCAAAACAGGGAAUGGCUUUUUAAGCUGAUGGAGGGAUCACUGGACGUGGUGUUCAUGUUUGUGUUGGUGUUCAUGGUGAUUUUGAUAUCCAAAUAUUAUGACAAUAUAUAGAUAGAGGAGAUAGCCCUCCGCGUCCUGGUGGCCACUGUAUGCUGCAGCGAAGAGCACACUUCAAUUGGUGAGCAGGCAGAUGAGUGAUCUGAGAUGUGCUUUGACAUUGGGAUUUGUAGUUGUCAAGGACGUCAUUACCCAGGCCAUUCCUAUGCUUCGGUGUUAACAAGCAGUCUUCGGAAUCAUCAAUAAGCCAACAGUGAGAAAUUAGUUUCAGAAAUUGAAUUCCCUUAAUAGGGAAACAAAUAGGGCACAAUCAGAUGAAGCAUCAAGGCAAUGGAUUGAACAAUCAGAUGAAGCAUCCAGCUCGUGGAGAAGCAAGGUCUGCAGGAAGACCAAUCGGACUGAGGCAAGAUAGUACAAUUGAUGGCAAUGGACGGAUGAGGGCAAGAUGGUCUUCGCGAAAAAGCUUGGCCGCUUGCUCGCCGGCUUGGAGGCAGCUAAGCCCUGGGUCUGGCAAGGCAAUUGCUUGCUUACUAGUGGAGAAGGCUUCUUCGGGUAAAAUCAAGAAGGUGAAGAAGGCUCUCAGGAGCAUAGGUAAGAAGAGUGGCGCCAUUGGUAAAGCGUCCGUCGCUGAUUAAUGAAUGAUACUCAGUCUCUUCGACCAUCAUCUCUGAUUGGCUCAUCUUGGUGGGUUUGCUAGUGUUUGUUGUCUACAGCUUUGGAUUCGUUGGGGUUUUCUUUGCGAUGCAGAAGUGCGAGCGAUUGUGGUUGUUGCUCGUUUUAUAUUUUUGUCAGGUUGACCGUGGGGUCAUGGAGUUUCUUUCUUUGUGAGUAGUCCGCAUGUGGUCUAUAUGUAACGGUUUUCGCCCGGUUUUCCGUUAAUUAACUGGGCAAUUCUCUUCCUCUUAAUUAAUCGAUGAGGCAAAUCUUUUGCCUCCGUUUAAAAAAAAAAUGAAUUCUGCGUUGGCUAUCCCCUCU